rnacentral:rRNA from 1 species
UGAAGCGGCAACAGCUCGAAUUUGAAAUCUGGCCUCGGCCCGAGUUGUAAUCUGUAGAGGACGCUUUUGGCGCGGUGCCUUCCGAGUUCCCUGGAACGGGACGCCACAGAGGGUGAGAGCCCCGUAAGGUCGGACACCAAGCCUGUGUAAAGCCCCUUCGACGAGUCGAGUAGCUUGGGAAUGCUGCUCUAAGCGGGAGGUAUACUUCUUCUAAAGCUAAAUAUUGGCCAGAGACCGAUAGCGCACAAGUAGAGUGAUCGAAAGAUGAAAAGCACUUUGAAAAGAGGGUCAAAUAGUACGUGAAAUUGUUGAAAGGGAAGCGCUUGUGAUCAGACUCGCGCCGGGCGGAUCAUCCAGUGGUCUCCACUGGUGCACUCCGGCCGGCGCGGGCCAGCGUCGGCUGUUGCGGGGGGACAAAAGCUCUGGGAACGUGGCUCUCUCCGGGGAGUGUUAUAGCCCUCUGCAGAAUACC